AGGACGAACGCUGGCGGCGUGCUUAACACAUGCAAGUCGAGCGGAAAGGCCCUUCGGGGUACUCGAGCGGCGAACGGGUGAGUAACACGUGAGCAAUCUGCCCCUAGCUCUGGGAUAGCUCCGGGAAACCGGGAUUAAUACCAGAUACAACCACUUUAGACAUCUUUUGUGGUGGAAAGGAUUCCGGCUAGGGAUGAGCUCGCGGCCUAUCAGCUUGUUGGUGAGGUAACGGCUCACCAAGGCGACGACGGGUA
rnacentral:rRNA from 1 species